AGUGUUUUUACAUUGUUAGGCUGAUUUCUGAAAGAGUAAUGUGAUUAAAUGUUGCAGUGUGGACGAAGUAAGUUUAUUUUGUACAAAUUAUAUUUUUUUCAUUUGGCUCCACAUCUUGGUGAGGGAAUACAUAAGUCUACACUAUCACCACCAUGUAUUAAUAAACACUUGAUUGACAGAAAAGUCACUUUAAGAACAGUAGCCUAAUUAUUUUUACAGAUAUUGUAUUUACAUGUCAAUUCAGUAUCAGAAUCUCAGUACUUGGCAGUACUCACUCUCAAAAAAAUGAAAUCUCACUAUUGCUCAUCUUAAUGAAUCCUUUUUCGUAGGAUUUACACAAUAAAAUUAGGUUUCUAGGUGAAAAGGAGUCAGUUAUACGAAAUGCAUUCGUGUUUGGAGGAAAUAUGUCACUCUAUGGUCGCCGUAGAAGCAUUAUUUCAAAACGCACAAACGAGGGUCUCUGGCUGUGGCAGGUCUGCCUCUUCUCCCUCACUCGUGGAUUGUAAGACGUGGGAGUGCAGAGUGCAAGACAUCAGCGUCAUUGAGGUCUCUCUUACAGAAGCAUUACAGAUGUGCAGAAUUUCACACGCAUUGUGCAACUGAAGUCCAAGUUUAUGCCAGAACUUGACAUCUGCUCCAGGCUGUCUGCUGAGUGCCAUAGGAAGGGAGGAGAAACAAGACAUAAGAUUAAGGAGAUCAUGGCUGCCAUUGAUCGGAAUCCCAUCAUUGGCUCGUUGAGAGUUUGCCACCUGCAAGCACUUGUUGUGUACUUGAAGGCCCUGAGAAACUCAAAGGAAUACCUGAGCUGCCAGGACUGGUGUCAUCACUGAAAGCAGUCAUAAACAACAUGGCAGAUUCAUCUAUUUCCUCCAGCCAAAGCGACUCACCACGCACUAGCAGUGAGACUUGCAGUGAAGACAUGGUACUAUGACUGAAGUACCUUGAACCGAUCCCUCAUUAGCAUUGUGCAGGCCCUCCAUGAUUUUGUGAUCUUGC